CGGGGGCGGUGCGGCUGGGACUGCGGCACCGCGAGGGGGAGCCGGGGCGCGGUGCGAGGUGUGGGGGCGCUCGCCCUAUUGCUGCUGCCGCUGGGUCUUGAGUGGGCGGCCGGCCCCGCGGUCCAGCGGUGAGUGCGGUGCCCGGGCCUCGGGCUCAGCCGCAGCCCCCUGCCCGAUCCACGGGCGCGGGCGACCCCUGGCGCUGGGUCCUCCGCUCACGCCGCAAUCCCCACCCCGACCCGCCCACUCUGGACCCUCGAGGGGGGCUGGGGACCGGGGGCCCCGGAACCAGGGGGAGGGGCUGCCUCGGAACAGGGUCCUCGCCUCCUAGGGACGGGAAGAGGCGUCGAGUACCCUUUGGAGGUCGCCUGAUCCUCACAGAAGCUUUCGGAGCUAGGCUGUCCAGUUCGGUAGACCCUAGGCAUGGUGGCUGCUGAGCAUUGAAACAGUUUCACUCUUGUUGCCCAGGCGGGAGUGCAAUGGCUCA